CACAUAAUCAGCACUCAGUACAUAUAUGUUCAAUGGUGAAAAGAUGAAUAUGUUUGAGUCUAAGUUUGAGGCAGGGACAUCUCAAGUAAGAGCCUAAAAGUGUAGAGGAAAAAUUAUUUUUAUUCUCCUACAAUUUCAAAAUCGGCGUUUGUUGACUUGUCAUCUUGCUACUGGAAUAAUUAGUGUCUAUGUCUCAUGAAUUUCCCCACAGUGGUUUAUCACCGAAGGAAAAUCCACAGGCUUUUACCAGUGUUAAGAAGAAUGGUUUCCCAAAGAUGUUUGUUCAUACCCUAGUUUCUAAACCUGUGAACAUGAUGUAUUACAUGGAAAAAGUCACUUCAUACAUUUAAUUAUGGUUAUGGAUCUAGAUUAUCAGGUUGGGCCUACUCUAGUCAUAUGAAUCCCUAAAAGCAGAAAAUUUUCUCUGUGAUCAGAGGAAUGAAACAGAAGAGGCAAGAAAAGUGAUAAAAGGGAAAUUGGAGAGAUUACUAGCAUAGGAAAGUCUGAAGUGCCAUUGGUUCAAAGAUUUAGGGGCGCAUAUGCAAGGACUGGGGCAAGUCUCUAGGAAAUAAGGGUGGCCUCCCACAGACAGCAAAGUCAUGUGUCCCUCAGUCCUUAGCCACAGGAAAAGCAUCCUGACCAAACUCUGAAUGCAUUUGGAUAUAGAUUCUUCCCCAGUGCCUCCAGUUAAGAAUACAAUUCUGCUAACUUUGACUUCAGCUUAG